rnacentral:tRNA from 1 species
CAAAUUAAAGCUUUAAAAAGUUUUUUAGUUACAUUAAAAAGAUAGUUGGCUAUCAACUUAAUUUGA